rnacentral:rRNA from 1 species
UACAGAGGUCUCAAGCGUUGUUCGGAUUCAUUGGGCGUAAAGGGCGCGUAGGCGGCCUGCUAAGUCGAACGUGAAAUCCCCGAGCUCAACUCGGGAACUGCGUCCGAUACUGGUUGGCUUGAAUCCGGGAGAGGGAUGCGGAAUUCCAGGUGUAGCGGUGAAAUGCGUAGAUAUCUGGAGGAACACCGGUGGCGAAGGCGGCAUCCUGGACCGGCAUUGACGCUGAGGCGCGAAAGCCAGGGGGAGCAAACGGG